CCUACGGGGGGCAGCAGUGGGGAAUAUUGGACAAUGCGCGAAAGCCUGAUCCAGCCAUGCCGCGUGUGUGAAGAAGGCCUUCGGGUUGUAAAGCACUUUCAGUGGGGAAGAAAGCCUUGGGGCUAAUACCCUCGAGGAAGGACAUCACCCACAGAAGAAGCACCGGCUAACUCCGUGCCAGCAGCCGCGGUAAUACGGAGGGUGCGAGCGUUAAUCGGAAUUACUGGGCGUAAAGCGCGCGUAGGCGGUCUGAUAAGCCGGUUGUGAAAGCCCCGGGCUCAACCUGGGAACGGCAUCCGGAACUGUCAGGCUAGAGUGCAGGAGAGGAAGGUAGAAUUCCCGGUGUAGCGGUGAAAUGCGUAGAGAUCGGGAGGAAUACCAGUGGCGAAGGCGGCCUUCUGGACUGACACUGACGCUGAGGUGCGAAAGCGUGGGUAGCAAACAGGAUUAGAUACCCCUGUAGUC
rnacentral:rRNA from 1 species